rnacentral:rRNA from 1 species
AUUGAACGCUGGCGGCAGGCCUAACACAUGCAAGUCGAGCGGUAGCACAGAGAGCUUGCUCUCGGGUGACGAGCGGCGGACGGGUGAGUAAUGUCUGGGAAACUGCCUGAUGGAGGGGGAUAACUACUGGAAACGGUAGCUAAUACCGCAUAACGUCGCAAGACCAAAGUGGGGGACCUUCGGGCCUCAUGCCAUCAGAUGUGCCCAGAUGGGAUUAGCUAGUAGGUGGGGUAACGGCUCACCUAGGCGACGAUCCCUAGCUGGUCUGAGAGGAUGACCAGCCACACUGGAACUGAGACACGGUCCAGACUCCUACGGGAGGCAGCAGUGGGGAAUAUUGCACAAUGGGCGCAAGCCUGAUGCAGCCAUGCCGCGUGUGUGAAGAAGGCCUUCGGGUUGUAAAGCACUUUCAGCGGGGAAGAAGGCGGUGAGGUUAAUAACCUUGUCGAUUGACGUUACCCGCAGAAGAAGCACCGGCUAACUCCGUGCCAGCAGCCGCGGUAAUACGGAGGGUGCAAGCGUUAAUCGGAAUUACUGGGCGUAAAGCGCACGCAGGCGGUCUGUCAAGUCGGAUGUGAAAUCCCCGGGCUCAACCUGGGAACUGCAUUCGAAACUGGCAGGCUAGAGUCUUGUAGAGGGGGGUAGAAUUCCAGGUGUAGCGGUGAAAUGCGUAGAGAUCUGGAGGAAUACCGGUGGCGAAGGCGGCCCCCUGGACAAAGACUGACGCUCAGGUGCGAAAGCGUGGGGAGCAAACAGGAUUAGAUACCCUGGUAGUCCACGCCGUAAACGAUGUCGAUUUGGAGGUUGUGCCCUUGAGGCGUGGCUUCCGGAGCUAGCGCGUUAAAUCGACCGCCUGGGGAGUACGGCCGCAAGGUUAAAACUCAAAUGAAUUGACGGGGGCCCGCACAAGCGGUGGAGCAUGUGGUUUAAUUCGAUGCAACGCGAAGAACCUUACCUGGUCUUGACAUCCACAGAACUUUCCAGAGAUGGAUUGGUGCCUUCGGGAACUGUGAGACAGGUGCUGCAUGGCUGUCGUCAGCUCGUGUUGUGAAAUGUUGGGUUAAGUCCCGCAACGAGCGCAACCCUUAUCCUUUGUUGCCAGCGGUUAGGCCGGGAACUCAAAGGAGACUGCCAGUGAUAAACUGGAGGAAGGUGGGGAUGACGUCAAGUCAUCAUGGCCCUUACGACCAGGGCUACACACGUGCUACAAUGGCAUAUACAAAGAGAAGCGACCUCGCGAGAGCAAGCGGACCUCAUAAAGUAUGUCGUAGUCCGGAUUGGAGUCUGCAACUCGACUCCAUGAAGUCGGAAUCGCUAGUAAUCGUAGAUCAGAAUGCUACGGUGAAUACGUUCCCGGGCCU